GACGAAUCUGUCAAAUCUCUCUAUACUGUCCUUCUUCCCGCCAGGUCAUCCGAACAAACGCUCUUCCCUCUCUACGUCAUGCUUGUCUAGGACGAUCAUGGAGACUAAUCAAUUCUCUCACAUGCCCACUUCAACGUAUCCACACUUUCAUCCACACACUUCCCUCUAAUUAUCUCCACAAAUCUACAUUACCAAGCAAGACCGGCAAGGGAUGCCUCGCACUUUGUUAGGAGCAGAGUUUACAGCCCCCCAUUUCCGUGACUCGGCUUUACUUGCCAUCCACUCAAUUAAGUCUUGCCGACAGCUUCCGAUCAUCGUAGGAGGAUCCAACUCGUAUAUAUAUUGAGGCACUAAUCGACGACGAUGACUACAAAUUCCGAUCCAGGUAUGAUUUCUGUUGUCUCUGGGUAGAUGUGUCCAUGCCCCGUACUCGAUCAAUAUGUGGCCAAACGUCAAUAUACAACGGCUUCUCUUUCAACUUUUGCUUUCACUACCAGAUCGCUCUCACCCUUCACUUCGUCAAACUCGUCUCUAAUCUCUUCCGCUUCUCCUCUCUCCAUCUCCUGCUGAACCCAGCUGGCUGGAUCUGUUCACUCUGAGAAAGUUCAACAACUGCACAUGUACAAGAUCAAUGAGCCAGAACGUGCAAGUCCUGCCAUUCUCCGGCUGAGUCAGAAUUUAGGAAUGGGUGGUAUCGGAAAAACUGCUAGCAGUACGCUAAAUCCUUGAUGUGUCAAUGCCCCUACUCGAUCAAUAAGCCAAGUGGCCAAACAGAUUAAUCAGAUGUUGGAGAAUGAUGGAAUGAUGGAUGAUAAGCUAAGACCACUUUUCAAUCCAAAGGGAAGACUACUACUCACAAGGGAUUAGAAAAGCAAUUGAAGUUGUCGAGUUCGAUCAGUAUUUUUAAAAGGAAUCGUUUAUCAUGGAUGAAGGUUAGUGAAAGAAGCGGUGAAUAAUGAAAUGAAGAAGAACACGUACAAAUUGGCACGUAAACAAAUGGGGAAGAUUCACAAAUGUCGUUGCCUUACAAGUCAUAUCUGAAAAUUUUGAAAAGUAUGCAAGACAUACUAUAAGUAAGUGUCGUUACUCAUUAAAGAGCACGCAAAGGAAGCAUCUCAACGAGUAAGCCAUCGAUCAAGCGGACGUGGAUAUGUGUACAAGUCCUCAAGUUACACGACUGGUGUAUUUUAAAUUUUUAGGUCCGAAGCUAGGAGAAAAACUGGUGCUAGGAAGGGUAAUCUUUAUGUCAACGACUUUUUUAAUGCUCAUGCUUUUGCAUUUGAGUGGGAUGACUGGGAAAGCACACUGCCAACGUGUUGCUGAUAGGGUUGGGCCACUUCAUGUGCAAUAAUUAAUAGAUUUUGAUGUCCGAUUAUAUUUGGAAGACCGACAAUGACUGUGUGGUGUGUUGUGCUUUUCUUAUAGUUUUGGACAUUUUUGUCACAUGAAACUACUUUUUGGAUGCCUGCAUUUGUGGGGGGUCAAUAGACAGAGGACAGAGAAGGACCCACUCCUGUA